CACGUAGGGCGCAAGCGUUGUCCGGAAUUAUUGGGCGUAAAGAGCUCGUAGGUGGUUUGUUACGUCUGCUGUGAAAUCCUAGGGCUUAACCCUGGGCUUGCAGUGGAUACGGGCAGACUAGAGGUAGGUAGGGGAGAAUGGAAUUCCUGGUGUAGCGGUGAAAUGCGCAGAUAUCAGGAGGAACACCGGUGGCGAAGGCGGUUCGCUGGGCCUUACCUGACACUGAGGAGCGAAAGCGUGGGGAGCGAACAGG
rnacentral:rRNA from 1 species